CGAAGCGAAGCAGCGAUGUGAAGCAAAUCGCACCAAAGCCGGUCCCAGUUCGGAUAAGAGGCUGAAACUCGCCUCUUUGAAGUCGGAAUCGCUAGUAAUCGCAGAUCAGCAUGUUGCGGUGAAUACGUUUCCUGGUCUUGUACACACCGCCCGUCAAACCAUGAGAGUCGCCAACACCCGAAGUCCGCUUUGCGGCUUAAGGUGGGGGAGAUGAUUGGGGUUAAGUCGUAACAAGGUAAC
rnacentral:rRNA from 1 species